rnacentral:rRNA from 1 species
GACGAACGCUGGCGGCGUGCUUAACACAUGCAAGUCGAGCGGUAAAGGCCCUUUCGGGGGUACACGAGCGGCGAACGGGUGAGUAACACGUGGGUGACCUGCCCUCAGCUCUGGGAUAAGCCUGGGAAACUGGGUCUAAUACCGGAUAUGACUCCAUGACGCAUGUUGUGGGGUGGAAAGCCUUGUGCGGCUGAGGAUGGGCCCGCGGCCUAAUCCAGCUUGUUGGUGGGGUGAANGGCCCUACCAAGGCGACGACGGGUAGCCGGCCUGAGAGGGCGACCGGCCACACUGGGACUGAGACACGGCCCAGACUCCUACGGGAGGCAGCAGUGGGGAAUCUU